GGUCAGUUGGUGUAGUGGUAACAUUCUUCCAAGGGUACUACAGUUUGUGUUGGCAAGUUGCUACUCAAUCUAUAGUAUCCGGAAGUAGUCCUGGGUUCGAAUCCCAGACUGACCC